rnacentral:lncRNA from 1 species
GAGCCGGGAGAAGCGGCGCGCCGCCAGGAACCCCCGCGCCACCGCCGCCGCGCCUGCCUCCAGCAGCUCUCGGCCACGCGACCGUGCGGUCAGCGGCGCUUGGAGGGCGGCCGGAGCUGGGCCUGAGCCUGGAGACUCGCCUGAUCCCGGGCGGCCGAACCACCAUCACCACAACCGCCCCACCCCCGCCGUCGCCUCGUGGGGCCCCGGCCCCCUCCCGGGUCCGAUGCACUCCAGGGUGGGCCAGGAGAAAAGAGAAAAGACAGCUUGGUGAUGACUAAGAAGCAAGAAACUGGAGCCUAAGCUAGUACUGAGAGGAAAGCUACCUCUGCAGCGCUCCACUUUGCCCCAGCUUCAGGAUAUGUUGUCUUGGGAUACAGGACAAUGCAGAUGACUUUCGAAGCCCAGAUACAAUGCCUUCUCUCCUCAGACAUGGUGGGAUGUACUCUGAUCUAGAGCAGGCAGCUGGCCAGAGGCCCACAGGGAGCUCAGUGAUUGGCCUCAGAUGACCUUGGGGACAAAGAUUGUCCUGUGAAGGGAAGUGAUGGCACAGGCUCUGAUCAGCUCUUCUGGGAACAGACAGAGAAGUGAGAAUUCCUGCCAAAGCCACAGGAUGAACACAGAGCCAAGAACCUGAACCAGAAAAAUCCAGCAGGAAAGGAACCUGCACUAGCCACCAUCCUGAGGCUGCUGUACAGGGAGCAAUCCUACCGCAGGGACUUGGCAGGAGACCAGGGGCCUGCUCCCCAGUCCUCCUCGAGGGCCUCUGUCACCGACCUGCUUGUCUAGGAUCUCCUUUCUUUCUGCUUGUGCCACAUCUUUCAGGCCUGUUCUGGGUCUGAUGUGCUAUAGAACACUCUGUUCAGGCACUUGGGAAAUAGAGACUUCAUCACCAGCAUUUCCACCCCCAAAGAACUAGGCAGCACACUGGGAAGUUGCCAAAGGAAGGGACUCCAGCCUCCCAGGAGUUAACAACAUUUCUCCCCAGCUAUCCUCCCCUUGGUGCUCCUCUUCCUCCCUCCUCCUGCUCACAGCAGGCAGGGCCUGGAACCAGGAGCCAUGCUGCUGUGCUGUUGCCAGGGGAGCUGGGAGGCAGAUCGGAGCUAUGCAGGGAAAAGGCUCGGCCUGUCAGAGUGUCUGAGAUGAACCACCGCCAUCCCUGUGCAGCUGGGCUCCAUGUGUCUCAGGGCUCUUGUUCUGUGCCUGAGAACGGUGAAGCCCAGCGAGGUUCAAGGGCACACUCGCUAUUCAUCAGUCGGGGGUUCUUGACGGUCCUGCCUCUCCCAGGGAUGGGUUCCCCCCUUCCUCUUUCUCUCCCUCCUAUGAUACAUUCCUGGGUGCCUGUGGUGAGGACUGCACACCCCCUUCUCCACAGCCCCCCCAAACCCUGAAUCAACUCCUAUUAAGGAGGCCAGGCGAGACAGGGACAAUGGCUUCAAGAAAUCAUUCAGGCGGGACCUCAGUCACAUUCGCAUGCCCGUCACUCCCAGAGCCCCUGUAGAUCCCACUCUGCUGUGAUUCAGGGACCCUUGGGCCCCCAGCUUGCACAUGCCUAGACAGGAGCAGGCCACUAGGUGCUGCCCUACACAACAGGCCAGUGCAGUGUUUGUUCUCAGGGACCCUGGGGCCUCCAUCCCACUGGCUGGAUAGUGUGUGCAGUCAGUUGGAGAGCAGAAACUACAAUAUUUUCUGAAAUGUGGUAAUAUCAAGAUAUAAGAGGCACAUAUACGUGAUGACUAAUUUCACUUCAGAUAUACUGGAAAAGUUUGCUAAGAACAUGGACAAAGACCUGUGGUUGAGUAACGAGUCAUUUCAUUCCAUGGAAUAUUACACACCUGUAAGACUGUGGUAGAUCUACCUCUGCAUGCAGGCUGAUAGGGAAGGUUGCUAAUAUACUUAAGUGAAUAGAAUAAAGUACAAAACAGUCAAGUGUGUUCUUGUUUGUAUAUACUUAAAGGUCAGUUACGGUGGCAGGGGUGUGUGAAGCUCAGUGGUAAAAUGCACACAGCAUACAGGAGGCCUAGAGCCAAAAAACCCUGUAUCAACCAUAAGUAUGUCUGCAUGAAUGGUUGGCAAGCAAGCCCUGCCCAGCAGCCUCCAGGAAGCAGGAGGCCUUUCCUCCUGUGUCUUUGUGUUUGUUUUCUCUCUGCGUUUGUGAAGCACUUUUAUUGAAAAAAAGAAAGGAUAGUAAUCACUUAAUAGGUGUAACUUCUCUCAGCCAACGAAGGGCAUGCACUCCAAGACAAGGUGGUGAUGUGGCUGAGAAGUGUCUUGACAGUACUGGUGGCCUCUGGCCACUGGCGGUUCUCCAACCACAUGUCAUCAUCAUGACUGCCACUGUUAAUCGAAAGCCCACUUAGUCCCAGGGUUAGUUCUCUGGUUCCUGCUUAGGUGAGUGUCCUAGUAUUUCAGUCUAGCCAAUGCAGGAGACUGAAUGGGGAAAUCAGUGGGUUUCUCCAAGCUGUUUGGGUCAAGUCAGUAUCCUAGAGUGGGUAAGGCAAGUGUGGGCUCUGAUUUCCCUCUGGGAGGACCUGUUUUGAGGAGGGGGCUUGUGGGCUGUGUUGAUUAUGAGUGAGCACUCCUACUUGCUUUAGCCCAGUGGAGGUGCCCUGCUGGGGACAGGCUGGCUUCAGGAGUUGACUGUCUCUGAACCACUCCAUCUGCAUACACACAGCAAGUAUUCAGAGACACCACCGGACUUUGCUGCUCCCAGUGUUAAUCAAAAGCCUGGCCUUGCCCUCAAAGGAGUAAAUUGCUGAGGGCAUCUGGAAAGCGCAAUGUGGAGCUGAGCACUGAGUCUUGGAGCCAACAUCCUGUGGAGCUCUGUCUGCGUUGGGCCCUGAUGCCUGGGAGUGGGCAAGGAAAGAUCGCAGUAGAGUUGACCAGAAGAACCUGGGAGACCCAUGGAGGUCCCUGGGCUUAGAUGGCAGCUUUGAAAGUCAGGAGGAAAGCAACUAGGGGUGGGGCUGUCACCAGGUCUCUUACUUUGGUGCAGUGAGUCUUAGUUUUAUAAGGUGCUGGUACACUCAUUUUACAGGUGACAUUUAAGUUCAGAAAUGUUGCUACAUGUCCCAGGUCACAGUUAAAAACUGCCAGAACUGAGAUUUAACACCUACCCCAUUGGUUGCGGUCUGAAUUCAUAACCCCAAAUUUAUUCUUUUUGGCUGAGCCACUUAAGAGAGGUCUCCUGAGCUCCAAGCCUUCCUAGCCAGUUCCAUACAUAGAGACAUAGAGACUUCUGCCUUCAAGGUUCCCCCAGUAUCUUGCCUGGGGUCUUCCCUAAUUCCACCUAAUUUUAUCUGUGAGGUAUACUAAGCUUUGGAACCUGGACCUAGAGCUGGAGAAGAAAUCCAAAGCCAUAUACAGACUGGGGCCCUUCAGUUAGUGUUGCUAUUAGCACUAAUGCUAUUUGCUUCCUGAGUCCGGUCAUCUGCAUUGUGCAGAUGCGCUCUCUUUCUUCAGGUCCUUGACCCUAAAGCCUGAUGGGAGGUCAAGGAUGCUCCAGGGCCUACCCCUUGCUUCUCAGAGCUGGAUCUGCUGAGGGCUGCAGCAAGCCUAAGACUGGAGGAUCAGGCAUGGGAGAGCAAAAGGAAUAACCAGGCUUAGAAAUCAUUGGAACUCUUACUUCAGGACAACCCUGAGGGAUGAUUAAGCCAAAUUCUGAGAGAGAAGCACUCUUCUGACCCUGGGAAACCUCUGCCUCUUUUACCCCAGCUCACAACUAAUAAAAGUUCGAAAAAC